rnacentral:sRNA from 1 species
UCCAGCUUUGUGUCCGUGGGGGCUGUGGGAGGGGACAGCAGGGGCAGAGGCCACACUCCACAGACUUACACUCAGCGUGGGCAAGGGGUGGGGUGGGAGUGAGGUCACUGCAGCUCCAGCCUGUGUCUGUCUGUCUGCAGGGGGGGCCCUCAGCCUCUUGGCCUUGAACGGGCUGUUCAUCUUGAUUCACAAACACAACCUGGAGUACCCCGACUUCUACCGGAAGCUCUACGGCCUCCUGGACCCCUCUGUCUUUCAUGUCAAGUACCGCGCCCGCUUCUUCCAUCUGGCUGACCUCUUCCUGUCCUCUUCCCACCUCCCCGCUUAUCUGGUGGCCGCCUUCGCCAAGCGGCUGGCCCGCCUGGCCCUGACGGCUCCCCCUGAGGCCCUGCUCAUGGUCCUGCCUUUCAUCUGUAACCUGCUGCGGCGGCACCCUGCCUGCCGGGUCCUCGUGCACCGUCCACACGGCCCUGAGCUGGACGCCGACCCCUAUGACCCUGGAGAGGAGGACCCAGCCCAGAGCCGGGCCUUGGAGAGCUCCCUGUGGGAGCUUCAGGCCCUCCAGCGCCACUACCACCCUGAGGUGUCCAAAGCCGCCAGCGUCAUCAACCAGGCCCUGACCAUGCCUGAGGUCAGCAUCGCGCCGCUGCUGGAGCUCACGGCCUACGAGAUCUUUGAGCGGGACCUGAAGAAGAAGGGGCCCGAGCCGGUGCCGCUGGAGUUUAUCCCAGCCCAGGGCCUGCUGGGACGGCCGGGCGAACUCUGUGCCCAGCACUUCACACUCAGCUGACCCCAGCCCACCUGUGAAUAAAUCUCAGCUGACCCCGGCCCACCUGUGAAUAAAUGUUUUUGCAGGAGAACG